ensembl:lncRNA
GGAACUUGGAGUCAGCUGUGUCUAAUUCGCGCUGAGACUGCGCAACACUGCGGUUAAGACGAUAGGACCCCCAACCCUCCAACUGGGCAUGCGCGAACGCCCACUCUCAGCGACCUUCCGACGUCACAGAGCCGGAAGUUCCCCUUGCAGUUCGUGCUCUGCGCCUCCGGGUUUUGAACGUGCAGAGGCCUGUGGCUUAGUCACAGCUGCACAGAGGAUGUCUGUGAACCGUCAUCCAUCACCCCUCCCAGGGAUCCUCCUGCUCCCCAAGCCCCAGACCACCCUGCCUCUUCAGUUUCUUAUCCCAUAAACACCCCAAGCUCCUUGCCUUCUGGGAGAUGGAUCUGACAUGUCUCUUCACUUGGUUGCCUUUCAAAUAAAUCAUCUCUCUGCUGUGUUACUGUGUCUCAUCAUUUUAACCUGCCGUCCAUCAGACAGAACAUAUCUGGUUUGGCAACAGGAGUGUGGUAGAGAUGAACUGGUGUAUCACUUACUGUUCAUUUAGCAUCAUGUCAUGAUUAAUUGAUCGUCUACGACAUGCCAGGACCUAUGCCUGCUGUUGAGGAUGAAACUAAAUAUGCUCCUCACAGAAUUUGCACGUUAGUGGGAGAACAAGAGCCAUUCAAAAACCGCAGGACCUCGUUGUGAUCCGUGCAGAGAAUCAAACAGGUGCUGAGGGGCAAGGCGGUGGAAAGAGAAGCGGCUUCGAUGACAAUACAGCUAACACUUGAGGAUGUGAAAAGCUGCCUCAAGAGCAGAGAUAAGGAAGAGGCUGCCCAGCGACUGGGGAAUUCUCGACCCGGAAGUAGAUGCCUCGGCCAGGUGCUCUUGCCUGAGAGGUCUCGCAACAGGAAAGGCUGAUGAGGGAUACGGUCCUGCCCCGAGAAGUCAGCCUACAGACUUUGGGAGGGGCCCAAACAGGGCGAAGUCAUCAGCCCUCCGGAGACCUUCUCAUUGGAAUCCAUGAGAUGGAGAAGGCACUGGCACCCCUCUCCAGUACUCUUGCCUGGAAAAUUGUAUGGACAGAGGAGCCUGGUGGGCUGCAGUCCAUGGGGUCGCUGAGGGUCGGACACGACUGAGCGACUUCACGUUCACUUUUCACUUUCAUGCACUGGAGAAGGAAAUGGCAACCCACUCCAGUGUUCUUGCCUGGAGAAUCCCAGGGACGGGGGAGCCUGGUGGGCUGCCAUCUGUGGGGUCGCACAGAGUCAGACACGACUGACGCGACUUAUAAGCAGCAAACAGAAGUCAUCAGCCUUCCAGCGUCCUUCUCACUGGAAUCCAUGAGAAGGAUGAACAACACACCUGCCGCCAAGAAGGACGCUGAGGCAGAACGAUUGGCCAAAGACAACCGGAAGCUGCCCCCACUCCCGUAAAACCCCUGCCUGCAAGCCCCAGGGCAGAGCAGUUCUCCUGGUUCUCUCACCCUGCCAUUCUCCACCCGCGUGCCCCUUUCCAGUAAAAUCUUUUGCAUGGUCAGUGCGUGUGUCUCCUUGGAAAAUGCACUUCUGAGCGUUAGACAGGAGCCCACUGUCAGGCCCUGGUGGGGGUCCCCCUUCCUGCAAUACAAGGACUAGGGUCAAGCCUCCUUUCUCAGAAAUAAACUGCAUACCAACCAGCGUGUAUUUCAGGUGGAAACUCAGGUGCUAUUAAUGUUCAGCUGAAUACUUGAGACACUUGGCAGCGUUCUUUAUGCGAAAAUACCUAAGAAGUAUUUUAACUUUAAAAGUCUUAAGGUAUAUUGGGUCAUGCUCAUGCAUGCUAAGUGACUUCAGUUGUGUCUGACUCUCCAUGACCCCAUGGACUGUAGCCCACCAGGCUCCUCUGAUCAUGGGAUUCUCCAGGCAAGAAUACUGCAGGGGGUUGCCAUGCCCUCCUCCGGGGCUAGUCCCUACCCAGGGUCAAGCCCAGGUCUCUUACGUCUUCUGUGUUGGCAAGCAUGUUCUUUACCGCUAGCCCCGCCCUGGGAAGCCCAUACUGGAU